CUACGGGUGGCAGCAGGCGAGAAAACUUUGCAAUGUGCGAAAGCACGACAAGGUUAAUCCGAGUGGUUUCUGCUAAAGGAACCUUUUGACAGUCCUAGAAACACUGUUGAAUAAGGGGUGGGCAAGUUCUGGUGUCAGCCGCCGCGGUAAAACCAGCACCUCAAGUGGUCGGGAUGAUUAUUGGGCCUAAAGCAUCCGUAGCCGGCUCUGUAAGUUUUCGGUUAAAUCUGUACGCUCAACGUACAGGCUGCCGGGAAUACUGCAGAGCUAGGGAGUGGGAGAGGUAGACGGUACUCGGUAGGAAGGGGUAAAAUCCUUUGAUCUAUUGAUGACCACCUGUGGCGAAGGCGGUCUACCAGAACACGUCCGACGGUGAGGGAUGAAAGCUGGGGGAGCAAACCGGAUUAGAUACCCGGGUAGUC
rnacentral:rRNA from 1 species